ACGGUUGACCUCGGAUCAGGUAGGAAUACCCGCUGAA
rnacentral:rRNA from 1 species